GUUUGAUAUUUAAUUAAAAUUGCACAGUUUUUUAGCGUAGCAUUUACUGCUUUGCACUUCAUGAAAAAAAAUAUCUAUGUACUUUUGUAUCUUAAAACGCUUUGCUUAAAUGGAGUUUCAAAAUUGAUGGGCAGCAGCUGUUUAACUAGAAAAUGUAAACGGCAAGAAGCAAAAAGGAUAGAUGGUGUGGUGCUAGUAAAAUGGUAUCAAUAUGAUCUAGUCUCAAUUAAGUUAGUCGCAGUUAAAUGGAGAAAUUGUUAAGACAAAAGAUUGCCUCUUUAACUUUUAUAUUAAAGUUGUUAUUUCCUUGUUAACUGUUUGUUGUCGUUAACAAAGCAAGUAAAAAUGGACAUAAUGACAACAGAUUUAUCUUUCGAAUUGUUUGCAAAACUUUUGGUUUGGAUACAAAGACCAAGUGAAAAUGAUAUUAGAAAGACUGUUUACCGUUUGACUCCUGUCCCAAUUUACCUAGUAGGGGCAAAAAGAAAGGACUACGCUGGAAACAAGAGGGGAUCAGCUCUUUUUAAAUUAAUAGCCGAAGUCGUAACCAGCUCGUAUAAAAAGAUUUCUCGACGUGAAAUUUUAUUCAACAAUGCCAAGAAUCUGUGUUUGCUCAAGAAACAGAGGAGAAAUAGAAAGAUGAAAAAAUAUUCUGCUGAAAAA
rnacentral:lncRNA from 1 species